rnacentral:lncRNA from 1 species
CAACAUUUAAGCUUUCAAUCAGAAAAAAAAUAAUUUCAAAAAGUGAUUCCCUUAUAUAGUUUUUUUUUGUCAUUUGUUGAUUAUGCAUUAUUAAAUGUUCUUUUCAAUUGCGUGUUACUUUUGGUUAAUUAUCCAACUAAGAUAACUACAAUCGUUAGAAUAAUCUAAUAAAUUUACUAUAUUUUCAUGUCAUGCUCUUACAUAUUGAGAAUAUGAUCUAGACAGCAUCUAAGGAUCCACAGAGGUGACAAGCGAUAAUUGUAUUGAGAUGAAUUUUACGGUAAGGAUAUACAAAUACAAAUAAGAUAAAAUAACAGCUAUUGUGAGUUGCAUAUUGGCAAAAACAUGUAAAUACAUGUGUAUUUCAUUGGUAAGCAGACGAUUCAACCUUGUUUGUUUUUAUGAUUAUGUCUAUGACUAUAUUCAGUUAAUUGACCUGAUUGAUAAUUCCUUAGUAAAGUCGGUAUUAAUACUAUUGAUGCACACUUUGUUGGUGAUAUUGCUGCUGAUUUAUUUUCAUGAUCAUAGUUUUUUUUUCAAAUUUAAAACAUGAAAGGACAGUUCUUGUGUUUCUGCCUUUGUGUACCGUAGACGUAUAUACAGCGAUAUGUGCUUGAUUAAAUCGCAAUCUGUAACAACCAAUUGCCAACUUUGAUUUACCUAUCAAACCCAUUGCAGUGUGCGUAUACUCAUAGAUACCAGAUAAAUCAUGUUCUUCAUUUGUACACCAGAUAGGCGGUUAUUUUACAAGAGACACAUCAGCAACGCUUGAUAAAAAAGCUAAAAAUUCUAAUUAUUUACGAAGUUGCAGUGUGUGAAGCCCAAAAUACCAUAAGGGUUAAAAACUUAUAAAAAAAUCCAAAAUUAAUGCAAAGUUUGCUCGUUUAUCCGAAUGGCAGUUCAUUUUUGUGAAUAAAAUUGGAAAUCUGUUUAAACAAAUGUCAACGAAAGGAUGGUGUCAAGUUAUGUCAAUCACACAUGAGUUAACCAAUAGAAACGGCGAUACGAGGUCAAACUAUUUUCUUCAACAAUGCACUAGUGUGAAUAAAGUACUGGCAUGUCUCUAAAUUGCCAUUUCUCUUUCAGUUAAGCAGUAAAAAAAUUCAACAGUCAGUCCGCAAAACCUGUACCUAAGAUGUUCCUGACUUCGAAGAUGUUAUAACUUUUAGUAUUUUCUUUAUUAACAAUUUAUAUAUAAACCUGCAAAUGUCGCCGAUAGACCUGCAGGAAUUUUCGGCGGAAAUAUAUAUCAAAGUUGCUUUUUCGGGCUUCAGCUGGUCCCGAAACAAACUCUAUACUAGUUUAUUGAAAAUAGACAUCACUCUAACCUCCAACAAAUACUAAAAUAAAAAACAAAAAGCCAACAGCGGCUCCUUAUGUGGGACAGGCGCAAAUAUGUGGCGGAUGUCACCAUGUUUUGUGAGAUUGCAACCCUCUCCUUUAUGCCUCUAAGUAAUGUACAUUAAACGAAAACUCAGCAAUACGCGCAGCAAACAUCAUUUAAAAAUAAGUCCGCUGUCAGAAUAGGUAACAAAAAAAUGAAGUAUAUUUAGAAUGUCUAAUGUACCAGAUAUAAUAAAUUCAAUCAGUUUUAAUUUGCAGGGUAACACAUAUUGAAAAACUUCAAUAUAAUUCAAAUAUUUUCUUCAACUGAAAUAUGUCAUCAGAAUGAUAGCUUAACUUAUUGAAUACUUGACAAAACAAAAAGCAUCAAGAGGUCAAUAUGUCGUCUAAAGCACAAGUGUGUACACAGUAUUUGCAUUACUUCCUCUACACUGUCGAGCUAUUUUAAAUUAAAUAGUUUAACAGGUAUUCAAAAAAAAAAAAUGUACCAGAAAGGAGAAGGUUCGGUAAGGGCCGAUUUUGGCUUCAAAUUUCAGGUUCGUCUAACGAAAGAUUUUGAACACUUUUUAAACACUUAAGCGUCUAUUUCAGUUGAUUCAAUAAGUUUAUGUGAAACGAUUUAACUGAUUUAGUCAUUAAAAACGCUCCAAUUCAACUUAAAUACGACAAAUCUAUCAGAAAUGCCAAAAUAUGUCACUUUUCAGAUGGUUUUUGUCAAAAAGGAAAAUGGCCGCAUCAGUAUGUAUCCUUAUCCUUUAUAUAUGUUAUGUAUUAUCGAUUUAUACAACUUACAUUUCAAUAUUAAGAAUGAACAUGAAUGCAGCCACUUUCAUUUAAGGUGGAAACCAUUUAAAAUUUAACUAAAAUGCCCAAAUUGUGAAGAUUUCAGUAUCUUAGCAUGACUUUAUGAUGCUAGUAUCUGAUGCAUGUGCAUUGUAUUGUCCAAAACAGCCCAUAUUUAUGUAGCAGAGGAAUUCUACUUUCCAAUAAAUAAGUAAAAGUUUGCAUUUUAACAAUUUUGUAAAACUGCUAUAUUUUGGGGCCAAAAAAGGACUUUACUGGACCUACUCCUUUGUCUCAUGUGGAACAUGCACAUAAUAAGAUUGGAGAGGUAUUAAUAAUGCAAUUAUUUUUAAGUUUCGGAAGAAAUAUGAAUAUUUAAAGUAGCUGUUUAAUAACAAUUCAUUAACAUCAUUGAAAUUUUGUCGAAAAUUUUGCAGGAAUACUUUGCAGGAAACGUCGAAAUUGUCAACCAGGGAAGUCGUGAAUGGUGCGCUUAUGUUGAGGUUACUGAAGGAGAACUCGAUUGUUAUGAUUGAUUGCGAGUUAUCUACAAACCAAGCACGGUGACAAAUGCUUUAAAUUUGCUUUUUGUUGAAUGCAUGACAAAAGGCAGUUAAUGUUGAAAAUGAGAAACAUACAUAGUUAACGAGCCUUUCGAUUUCAAUAUUUAAUAUGUUGGAAGAUGAACAAAUAUAUCCUACUUUGAGCAUUUCAUCCGUUAUUUUAAAACAGAGCUUCAACAAUUUAUUUUGUGAUUUGUUUUAAUAACUCGCCCUGGCCUAUAAUAUGUUAUAACCAUACAGCUACAAAUACGAAGCAAACAGAAUGAAAAUCAGGUAAAGGAAGACGAAUACUGCCAUAGUUCUGUUUUGUGUUUUGUCAAUUCAAGAAGAAAGAGUGUGAUACAAUACAGAUGUUGAAAAUGUCUCACAUGAUAACUCUUAACAUACAAACAAUGAAGAGAGAAAGAUAUGAAGUAUGCAUUUCCUAUCUCAGUACAUAGCUUGAUACAUUAGUAAAUUGCAUUCCGAUACUUAAAUUUCUUACAAACUUAAUUGUAACAGGACUAUAAACUAAUUGAAACAACCGAACAACUGCAAUUGCGGUAUCAAUUAUGUAUAUAAUUGCCAUGUUUUAUGUACACGAAUUCGUAAUAUUAAAUGAUUUUGAUACACUGUCUUUUUAUUUUUGUUUUUGUAUUUCCCUUUGUUUGCUCAAGUCCUCAGGACAGAUGAAAGGACAGACUGUAUGUACG